rnacentral:rRNA from 1 species
UGUAGCAAGGUUAACCGAAUAGGGGAGCCGAAGGGAAACCGAGUCUUAACCGGGCGUUAAGUUGCAGGGUAUAGACCCGAAACCCGGUGAUCUAGCCAUGGGCAGGUUGAAGGUUGGGUAACACUAACUGGAGGACCGAACCGACUAAUGUUGAAAAAUUAGCGGAUGACUUGUGGCUGGGGGUGAAAGGCCAAUCAAACCGGGAGAUAGCUGGUUCUCCCCGAAAGCUAUUUAGGUAGCGCCUCGUGAAUUCAUCUCCGGGGGUAGAGCACUGUUUCGGCAAGGGGGUCAUCCCGACUUACCAACCCGAUGCAAACUGCGAAUACCGGAGAAUGUUAUCACGGGAGACACACGGCGGGUGCUAACGUCCGUCGUGAAGAGGGAAACAACCCAGACCGCCAGCUAAGGUCCCAAAGUCAUGGUUAAGUGGGAAACGAUGUGGGAAGGCCCAGACAGCCAGGAUGUUGGCUUAGAAGCAGCCAUCAUUUAAAGAAAGCGUAAUAGCUCACUGGUCGAGUCGGCCUGCGCGGAAGAUGUAACGGGGCUAAACCAUGCACCGAAGCUGCGGCAGCGACACUGUGUGUUGUUGGGUAGGGGAGCGU